GCCGGGCGUGGUGGCUCAUGCCUGUGAUCCCAGCACUUUGGGAGGCUGAGGUGGGUGGAUCACCUGAGGUCGGGAGUUCGAGACCAGCCUGACCAAUAUGGAGAAACCCCAUCUCUA
ensembl:misc_RNA Metazoa_SRP Metazoan signal recognition particle RNA